GUGGGGAAUUUUGGACAAUGGGCGCAAGCCUGAUCCAGCCAUGCCGCGUGCAGGAUGAAGGCCUUCGGGUUAUAAACUGCUUUUGUACGGAACGAAAAGACUUCUUCUAAUACAGGAGGUCCAUGACGGUACCGUAAGAAUAAGCACCGGCUAACUACGUGCCAGCAGCCGCGGUAAUACGUAGGGUGCAAGCGUUAAUCGGAAUUACUGGGCGUAAAGCGUGCGCAGGCGGUUAUAUAAGACAGAUGUGAAAUCCCCGGGCUCAACCUGGGAACUGCAUUUGUGACUGUAUAGCUAGAGUACGGUAGAGGGGGAUGGAAUUCCGCGUGUAGCAGUGAAAUGCGUAGAUAUGCGGAGGAACACCGAUGGCGAAGGCAAUCCCCUGGACCUGUACUGACGCUCAUGCACGAAAGCGUGGGGAGCAAACAGGAUUAGAAACCCGUGUAGUCC
rnacentral:rRNA from 1 species